rnacentral:lncRNA from 1 species
GGACUCGCGGGCGGUGCGCGCGCGCGCGCGGGGCUCGGCGCCAGGAGGACCCUCUCCGGGGACCCCCGCCCCGGCCCCCCCGGCGGCUCCAGAUGCUCCCCCGGGACCCCGCUCCCCAGCUCCCCCCCACCCCCACCCCCGGGUCCCGCCCCCCCCACCUCCCUCCGCGGCGAGUAGUUACCGAUGGUGGUGAUGACGGUGAUGGCGAAGUAGAAGGAGCCGGCGAAGCGCCACUGCACGCCGGCCUUGUGCGGCUUGAGGCGCAGCACGACCAGCUCGAGCUCCUCGUAGCUGUCCUGGCUGAGGUUGUAGCGCGCCCGCAGCUCCCGCCGCCGCCGCUCCAGCCGCCGCCGCUCGUCGAUCUCGGGCUCCGACUCGAGCGCGUCGAAGACCGCGGCGCCCACCAGCAGCCACGCGCUCCUCCUCGCAUGUGGGGGCAGGUGAGUGGACAGAGCCAGCCCUGCUGGGGGCUCAGGCAGGCUCCCGAGGAUGAGCGAGGGAGCCCUGAAAUGAAAAAUCAGCUGCUCUUCUCCAGUCUGGGAAGUGGGAUCCCAGAUGAAUUAAAGCUGGAAGAAACCUGAGAUCACCCGCUGCCAAUGAGGAAACCGAGGCCCGGGCCUCACGGCCUGCUGGGCCAGAGCUGGGGCCAGAGCCCGCCGGCUCUCCCGCUCUCCCGACGUCCAGCCCGUGGCUCCCGAGAAGUCCUCCAACUCCCCCCGACCGCCUGCAAGAAUCGAGUGGCUCAAGCCGUCCUCUGCGGGAUUCUGGCGCGGCCACGGCCUGCAUUCCCUGACAAACGUGUCCUAAGAGUAUGGGCCAUGAUGUGGACCAUUGACUAUGAGGUGCAGAGGUGCCCAAAGAUGUACUUACCAAAUCCAAUGGAUGUGUCAUGAUGAUGGGAACGAGUGUUGUUGGGGG